rnacentral:rRNA from 1 species
UACGAAGGGGGCUAGCGUUGUUCGGAUUUACUGGGCGUAAAGCGCACGUAGGCGGAUCGUUAAGUCGGGGGUGAAAUCCUGGAGCUCAACUCCAGAACUGCCUUCGAUACUGGCGAUCUUGAGUCCGGAAGAGGUGAGUGGAACUCCUAGUGUAGAGGUGGAAUUCGUAGAUAUUCGCAAGAACACCAGUGGCGAAGGCGGCUCACUGGCCCGGUACUGACGCUGAGGCACGAAAGCGUGGGGGAGCGAACAGG